AGUGGCGGACGGGUGAGUAACGCGUAGGAAUCUACCUGAUAGUGGGGGAUAGCCCGAAGAAAUUCGGAUUAAUACCGCAUAAUCUAUUCGUAGUAAAGUGGGGGACUUUCGAGCCUCACGCUAUCAGAUGAGCCUGCGUAAGAUUAGCUAGUUGGUAGGGUAAAAGCCUACCAAGGCGACGAUCUUUAGCUGGUCUGAGAGGAUGAUCAGCCACAUCGGGACUGAGACACGGCCCGAACUCCUACGGGAGGCAGCAGUGGGGAAUAUUGGACAAUGGGGGCAACCCUGAUCCAGCAAUACCGCGUGUGUGAAGAAGGCCUGAGGGUUGUAAAGCACUUUCAAUUGUGAAGAAAAGCUAGUGGUUAAUAGCCAUUAGCCUUGACAUUAACUUUAGAAGAAGCACCGGCUAACUCCGUGCCAGCAGCCGCGGUAAUACGGAGGGUGCAAGCGUUAAUCGGAAUUACUGGGCGUAAAGCGUGCGUAGGCGGUUUAUUAAGUCAGAUGUGAAAGCCCCGGGCUUAGCCUGGGAACUGCAUUUGAAACUGGUCAACUAGAGUAUGGUAGAGGAAAGUGGAAUUUCUGGUGUAGCGGUGAAAUGCGUAGAUAUCAGAAGGAACAUCAAUGGCGAAGGCAACUUUCUGGACCAAUACUGACGCUGAGGUACGAAAGCGUGGGUAGCAAACAGGAUUAGAUACCCUGGUAGUCCACGCCGA
rnacentral:rRNA from 1 species